AUUGAACGCUGGCGGCAGGCCUAAUACAUGCAAGUCGAACGAGUGGCGGACGGGUGAGUAAUGUCUUGGAAACUGCCUGAUGGAGGGGGCUAACUACUGUAACCGGUAGCUAAUCCCGCAUACCCUCCGAUGUGCCCUGGUGGGAUUAGCUUGUUGGGGGGGUAACGGCUCACCACGGCGAAGAUCCAUAGCUGGUCUGAGAGGAUGAUCGGCCACACUGGAACUGAGACACGGUCCAGACUCCGACGGGAGGCAGCAGUGGGGAAUAUUGCGCAAUGGGCGCAAGUCUGAUGGAGCAAUGCCGCGUGAAUGAAGAAGGUUUUCGGGUCGUAAAGUACUUUCAGUGGGGAGGCGGUACCCGAAGAGGAAGCCCCGGCUAACUACGUGCCAGCCGCCGCGGUAAUAC
rnacentral:rRNA from 1 species